rnacentral:lncRNA from 1 species
GUCAUAAAGUUAGAGUCAUCCCUAGCAUGUGUUAGAGGAUUGAAUGUGAUGUGAAUUAAUUGUUUGGUUUGAUAUGUAUUAUUGAAGCAUAGAAAUGAUUAUUGGUAAAGGAAUGAAUAGAAAUGGUUACAAAAUUGAUAAUUUUAGAACUAUAUUGUAUUGAUAAUAUUAUUGAAAGGGUUUUCAAAAGAAUUAUGUAGUAUGCACUAUAAAUGUAUUUUCACUGU